ensembl:snRNA U6 U6 spliceosomal RNA
GUGCUGGCUUUGUCACAUGCCCUAAAACUGGAACGAUACAGAGAUUAGCACGGCCCCGCCGCGAGGAUGAUGUGCAGAUUCUUGAACUGCUCCUUAUUUUU